AAUAAGCGGAGGAAAAGAAACCAACAGGGAUUGCCUUAGUAACGGCGAGUGAAGCGGCAAAAGCUCAAAUUUGAAAUCUAGCACUUUCAGUGUUCGAGUUGUAAUUUGAAGAAGGUAACUUUGGAAUUGGCUCUUGUCUAUGUUCCUUGGAACAGGACGUCACAGAGGGUGAGAAUCCCGUGCGAUGAGAUGUCCAAUUCUAUGUAAAGUGCUUUCGAAGAGUCGAGUUGUUUGGGAAUGCAGCUCUAAGUGGGUGGUAAAUUCCAUCUAAAGCUAAAUAUUGGCGAGAGACCGAUAGCGAACAAGUACAGUGAUGGAAAGAUGAAAAGAACUUUGAAAAGAGAGUGAAAAAGUACGUGAAAUUGUUGAAAGGGAAGGGCUUGAGAUCAGACUUGGUAUUUUGUGUUCCUUAUCCUUCUUGGAUUGGGUUCCUCACAGCUUACCGGGCCAGCAUCGGUUUGGAUGGCAGGAUAAUGACAUUGGAAUGUAGCUUUGCUUCGGUGAAGUGUUAUAGACUUUGUUGAUACUGCCUAUCUAGACCGAGGACUGCGUCUUUGACUAGGAUGCUGGCGUA
rnacentral:rRNA from 1 species